rnacentral:tRNA from 1 species
GGUAGGAUGGCUGAGUAAAAAGCGGUGGAUUGUAGCCCCACAUACAGAGGUGAAACUCCUCUUUCUAUCA